GGAGGGAUGGCCGAGUGGUCGAUGGCGGUGGUCUUGAAAACCGCCAUCGGCCAUCCCUCCA
rfam:Acidobacteria bacterium 13_1_40CM_2_64_6 13_1_40cm_2_scaffold_7337, whole genome shotgun sequence.